GCCACUUCCCUUGCUUCACAGGAUUUCACUUUGCUCAGGGAGUGGGGAAAUCAGUGAGGUAACAGUGGUUGCUGUGAACAGCUGUCCUACCUGAAGAAAUGAAGUGAUUCAUUGAUGAAGAUCAUCAAUGUCUAUACACUGACAAAUAAAGAUGCUUGCCAAAGAAUAGUAUGAUGCACCAAUAUCCUCGAGGAGAGUUCAAAGAUCACGACUGCACUUUCUCUUCAAGGUGAUCAUCACAUGCAUUGUAGACUUGGAAAAUUCUCUAUUUGGUUUGCUGAAGAGAAAAAUAAUUAUAAAUUGGAAGUGAUUAGUGAUGAAUUGACAAUGGUUUAAUCCAAAGCAAGAAGAACAGACUUCUGGAUUCUUCCAUCGUCAGUAUUCAAACUUGUAUUCCAUAGAUACACAAACAGCUCCAUUUCUCUGUUCAAGGUUCCUAACCAAACCCACAGGCAUGACUAACAGUGCACAUGGCAGUAAGCAACCGACAGAUGCGUACAAAUGCUGAAUAAUUGAACAAUACAGACACGAAAUCCCUUCCACUGCAAGCACCAGGGUCUUGUGCCAUAGACUACAUUCUUAAACGCAUUGUGACUUUUGUAAUCCUAGCCCGUGUCCUUGAUGCUGAGAAUGGCUUGGAUCUUAUUACGGAGAAUACUGCAGAGCUGGGUUAUUUCUUUCAACUAUCUCCCAAGUGCCCUCACUUUGCUUAUAAUUUUCCUCCAGUAUCACAAACGGGAAGGAAAUAAUUGUAUAAAUGCCCCUUAAGUGGUGAGGUUGUGCCUUCCAGUGAAUUCAAUUAUGACACAAAAGAUACGCUGGAAUUAAACACAAAGUCACUACCAAAAUCAUUACUUGGCACAUCAUUGUACGUGGAAUUGCCCUUUUAUCGAGAUUUGUUACCAUGUGUAUUGCAUAGGUUCGCAAAGCUAAAAAAAAUCUUGUUAUGUCAGAAAAUUUAUAAAGGCUAUAAAAAGUGAACUGUUUUUGAUAGGAAUAAAACUGCUGCUAACAAU